UCAGCCGCCGCGGUAAUACCAGCGCCUCAAGUGGUACCCACGAAUACUGGGCCUAGAGCGUUCGUAGCUGGUCAAGUAAGUCUCCUGUGAAAUAGUGUGGCUUAACCACACCGCGCGCAGGAGAUACUGCUCGACUUGGGAACGGGGGAGGUCAGGAGUACGCCCGGGGUAGGGGUAAAAUCCUUUGAGCCUGGGCGGACUACCAGUGGCGAAGGCGCCUGACCAAAACGUGUCCGACGGUGAGGAACGAAAGCUGGGGGAGCGAACGGGAUUAGAUACCCCGGUAGUCCCAGCCGUAAAUGAUGCAGACUGUGGUGUUGCCGUAGAGUUAAUCUACGGCAGUGCUGUAGCGUAGGUGUUAAGUCUGCCGCCUGGGGAGUACGGCCGCAAGGUUGAAACUUAAAGGAAUUGGCGGGGGAGCACCACAAGGGGUGGAUGCUACGGUUUAAUUGGAUACAACGCCGUGAACUUCACCAAGGGCGACGGCAGAAUGAAGGUCAGACUAAAGAUCUUGCCUGAUGAGCCGAGAGGUGUUGCAUGGCCAUCGUCAGCUCGUGGCGUGAGUUGUCAGGUUAAGUCCUGCAACGAGCGAGACCCAUACCAUUAAUUGCUACUUUUACCUUUAGUAAGAGGCACCUUAAUGGGACUGCCCGCGUUAAGUGGGAGGAAGGAGUGGGCGACGGUAGGUCAGUAUGGCCCGAAUCCCUUGGGCUACACGCGGCAUACAAUGGCUGGAACAAUGGGUUGCUAGUCCGAAAGGAUGCGCCAAUCCCCUAAAUCCAGUCUCAGUUCGGAUCGAGGGUUGAAACUCACCCUCGUGAAGCUGGAAUCCCUAGUAAUCGCGUGUCAUCAACGCGCGGUGAAUACGUCCCUGCCCCUUGCACAC
rnacentral:rRNA from 1 species